rnacentral:rRNA from 1 species
AAUGAACGCUGGCGGCGUGCCUAACACAUGCAAGUCGAGCGAGAAAGUCCCCUUCGGGGGCGAGUAAAGCGGCGCACGGGUGAGUAACGCGUGGGUAACCUGCCCUUGAGUGGGGGAUAACCAGCCGAAAGGCUGACUAAUCCCGCAUACGACCGGCAGACACAAGUCUGUCGGGGAAAGAUGGCCUCUGCUUGCAAGCUAUCGCUCUUGGAUGGGCCUGCGUUGGAUUAGCUAGUUGGUGAGGUAACGGCUCACCAAGGCAACGAUCCAUAGCUGGUUUGAGAGGACGACCAGCCACACUGGAACUGAGACACGGUCCAGACUCCUACGGGAGGCAGCAGUGAGGAAUAUUGCGCAAUGGGGGAAACCCUGACGCAGCGACGCCGUGUGAGGGAAGAAGGUUCUCGGAUUGUAAACCUCUGUUCUUGGUGAAGAGAAGAAGACGGUAGCCAAGGAGGAAGCCCCGGCUAACUACGUG